rnacentral:lncRNA from 1 species
AAAAGUUUAUAAACUCUGUAUGAAAAGACAUAGAUCUUUCCGAGACAUAAGGUGUAGCUAUUUCUAUUUAUAUAGAAAAAUCAGAAAAAGAAAUAAUAUAAUAGCUAGAAAACAUAAUUUAGAAGAAAGUAGGAAAAGGUUAUUAGAAGCAAACAGAUUACAUAAAUCAUAUAAUACAUCUAGACAAGUUUGUGAAAAUUUAGUAAGCG